rnacentral:rRNA from 1 species
CCUAUGGGUGGCAGCAGUGAGGAAUAUUGGUCAAUGGGAGGAAUCCUGAACCAGCCAUGCCGCGUGCAGGACGACGGCUCUACGAGUUGUAAACUGCUUUUGUACCGGGGUAAAAUGCUCUACGAGUAGGGUUUUGAAAGUACGGUACGAAUAAGGAUCGGCUAACUCCGUGCCAGCAGCCGCGGUAAUACGGAGGAUCCGAGCGUUAUCCGGAUUUAUUGGGUUUAAAGGGUGCGUAGGCGGUAUUUUAAGUUAGUGGUAAAACGUCGGGGCUUCACCUUGAUUGGCCAUUAAAACUGGAGUACUAGAGUACAGACGAGGUAGGCGGAAUAAGUUAAGUAGCGGUGAAAUGCUUAGAUAUAACUUAGAACCCCGAUAGCGAAGGCAGCUUACCAGACUGUUACUGACGCUGAAGCACGAGAGCGUGGGUAGCGAACAGGAUUAGAUACCCCAGUAGUC